GUUAGUUCAUUUAGAAUUAUCUACGAUGUUGGCCUGAAUACUUAGAGAGAGAGAGAGAGAGAGAGAGAGAGAGAGAGAGAGAGAGAGAGAGAGAAAAUAGUGAUGGAUUAAUUCCAGUCUCAAAAAAAGAACUAUAAUUCAUAGUUUUGAACCAUUACUUAAAGAUAUGAAACACAUAAGGAUUGAGUCACUUCAUAAUUUAAAUUUAAUCGUUCAUUUGACUUUGUUCUAUUGAAGCUUUAGGCCCUUAUUAUUAACUCAUCACAUUAUGUAUUUAAAUUUUUUUACAUAUUCGUCAAUAUAGUAGGAGGUGGAUAGUUUUUUACUGAUCCCAUGGGUAUAUUGUUUUUAAAUAUUCAAUGAAAGACGUUUGGAGAACGUCAAACUUUCUUUGCCACAGAGAGAAUGAGAGGACGGGGACAAGAAUGUACAGCAAGAACUUGCAGAACUCGGACAGAAGUGAAUUACCGGAUCUGAACACCUGAGUAGGUAAAGAAGCACAGCUGCACAAGCAAAGAAGAAACACUACUACCAUGAAUGCCCAAGACUUGUAUGACAAUGUGCUGCAGGGAAGGGAGCCCCAAGAGUGACACCACCAUUGAUGAGAAACCUGAGGACAACCUCUGGCUACAACUGGGCUUUACUGUGGACUCUGAGACAGGUAAGCUUUGGGGAUCAUUAGCUUUAGUCAUCAAUACUUAAUUAGCAUUGGUGAAAACUAGUGUGCAUUCUUUCAUUUAUUUUUAAGAGGUGGCCAUUUCUGUGAUAGUGGUGCCUUAAGCUGACUAAUGUUCUUUUAUGUAGAGAGACAAGAAUAUGAUGUACUAUCUAACAAUUUAAUAUUGUCUUAGCUAAGUAAAUGCUCACAAUUGGCCAGUUAUAAAGACCUGGCCAUUUCUGCAACAGUAGCAUCUCAUGUUGACUGAAGUUUUACCAUCUUAGAGAGAGAAAAAAAAAGGAUGCAUUCAUUGUGUAGCUAUUCAUAUAUUAGCUGACACUGUGCCUCCAUGAUAAAGCGGGUCGUGUGCUUGACUAUGAAUCUGUGGGCCCUGAUUUGAAUCUGGGCUGGGGC